rnacentral:piRNA from 1 species
UGGAAUAUUUGCCAAGCUUAUUUCCUUGGGU